UUAGAGUUUGAUCCUGGCUCAGAUUGAACGCUGGCGGCAGGCCUAACACAUGCAAGUCGAGCGGUAGCACAAGAGAGCUUGCUCUCUGGGUGACGAGCGGCGGACGGGUGAGUAAUGUCUGGGAAACUGCCUGAUGGAGGGGGAUAACUACUGGAAACGGUAGCUAAUACCGCAUGACGUCUUCGGACCAAAGUGGGGGACCUUCGGGCCUCACGCCAUCAGAUGUGCCCAGAUGGGAUUAGCUAGUAGGUGGGGUAAUGGCUCACCUAGGCGACGAUCUCUAGCUGGUCUGAGAGGAUGACCAGCCACACUGGAACUGAGACACGGUCCAGACUCCUACGGGAGGCAGCAGUGGGGAAUACUGCACAAUGGGCGCAAGCCUGAUGCAGCCAUGCCGCGUGUAUGAAGAAGGCCUUCGGGUUGUAAAGUACUUUCAGCGGGGAGGAAGGGAGUAAAGUUAAUACCUUUGCUCAUUGACGUUACCCGCAGAAGAAGCACCGGCUAACUCCGUGCCAGCAGCCGCAGUAAUACGGAGGGUGCAAGCGUUAAUCGGAAUUACUGGGCGUAAAGCGCACGCAGGCGGUUUGUUAAGUCAGAUGUGAAAUCCCCGGGCUCAACCUGGGAACUGCAUCUGAUACUGGCAAGCUUGAGUCUCGUAGAGGGGGGUAGAAUUCCAGGUGUAGCGGCGAAAUGCGUAGAGAUCUGGAGGAAUACCGGUGGCGAAGGCGGCCCCCUGGACGAAGACUGACGCUCAGGUGCGAAAGCGUGGGGAGCAAACAGGAUUAGAUACCCUGGUAGUCCACGCCGUAAACGAUGUCGACUUGGAGGUUGUGCCCUUGAGGCGUGGCUUCCGGAGCUAACGCGUUAAGUCGACCGCCUGGGGAGUACGGCCGCAAGGUUAAAACUCAAAUGAAUUGACGGGGGCCCGCACAAGCGGUGGAGCAUGUGGUUUAAUUCGAUGCAACGCGAAGAACCUUACCUGGUCUUGACAUCCACAGAACUUUCCAGAGAUGGAUUGGUGCCUUCGGGAACUGCGAGACAGGUGCUGCAUGGCUGUCGUCAGCUCGUGUUGUGAAAUGUUGGGUUAAGUCCCGCAACGAGCGCAACCCUUAUCCUUUGUUGCCAGCGGUCCGGCCGGGAACUCAAAGGAGACUGCCAGUGAUAAACUGGAGGAAGGUGGGGAUGACGUCAAGUCAUCAUGGCCCUUACGACCAGGGCUACACACGUGCUACAAUGGCGCAUACAAAGAGAAGCGACCUCGCGAGAGCAAGCGGACCUCAUAAAGUGCGUCGUAGUCCGGAUUGGAGUCUGCAACUCGACUCCAUGAAGUCGGAAUCGCUAGUAAUCGUGGAUCAGAAUGCCACGGUGAAUACGUUCCCGGGCCUUGUACACACCGCCCGUCACACCAUGGGAGUGGGUUGCAAAAGAAGUAGGUAGCUUAACCUUCGGGAGGGCGCUUACCACUUUGUGAUUCAUGACUGGGGUGAAGUCGUAACAAGGUAACCGUA
rnacentral:rRNA from 1 species